UCAUAUGCUUGUCUCAAAGAUUAAGCCAUGCAUGUCUAAGUACGUGCCUAAGAAAGGUGAAACCGCGAAUGGCUCAUUAAAUCAGUUAUGGUUCCUUAGAUCGUACCUUACUACUUGGAUAACUGUGGUAAUUCUAGAGCUAAUACAUGCAGCAGAGCUCCGACCUUCGGGGACGAGCGCUUUUAUUAGACCAAGACCAAUCGGACUUCGGUCCGAAGCUCAUGGUGACUCUGGAUAACUUUGGGCUGAUCGCACGGUCUCGUACCGGCGACGCAUCUUUCAAGUGUCUGCCUUAUCAACUUUCGAUGGUAGGUUAUGCGCCUACCAUGGUCGUAACGGGUAACGGGGAAUCAGGGUUCGAUUCCGGAGAGGGAGCCUGAGAAACGGCUACCACAUCCAAGGAAGGCAGCAGGCGCGCAAAUUACCCACUCCCGGCACGGGGAGGUAGUGACGAAAAAUAACAAUACGGGACUCUAUUGAGGCCCCGUAAUUGGAAUGAGUACACUCUAAAUCCUUUAACGAGGAUCUAUUGGAGGGCAAGUCUGGUGCCAGCAGCCGCGGUAAUUCCAGCUCCAAUAGCGUAUAUUAAAGUUGUUGCGGUUAAAAAGCUCGUAGUUGGAUCUCAGUUCCAGACGGGUGGUCCACCCCUGGUGGUUACUGCCUGGCCUGAACAAAUCCAGCCGGUUUUCCUUGAUGCUCUUCACCGAGUGUCUUGGGUGACCGGCACGUUUACUUUGAAAAAAUUAGAGUGCUCAAAGCAGGCGUGACGCCUGAAUAAUGGUGCAUGGAAUAAUGGAAUAGGACCUCGGUUCUAUUUUGUUGGUUUUCGGAACACGAGGUAAUGAUUAAGAGGGACAGACGGGGGCAUUCGUAUUGCGACGCUAGAGGUGAAAUUCUUGGACCGUCGCAAGACGAACUACU
rnacentral:rRNA from 29 species